rnacentral:rRNA from 1 species
CCUACGGGCGGCAGCAGUGAGGAAUAUUGGUCAAUGGGCGGAAGCCUGAACCAGCCAAGUCGCGUGAGGGAAUAAGGCCCUACGGGUCGUAAACCUCUUUUGCCGGGGAGCAAGGGCGGGGACGUGUCCCGGCCCGGAGAGUACCCGGAGAACAAGCAUCGGCAAACUCCGUGCCAGCAGCCGCGGUAAUACGGAGGAUGCGAGCGUUAUCCGGAUUUAUGGGGUUUAAAGGGGGGGUAGGCGGGCUUGUAAGUCAGCGGUAAAAAUUCGGGGCUCAACCCCGUCCGGCCGUUGAAACUGGGGGCCUUGAGUGGGGGAGAGGAAGGCGGAAUGCGUGGUGUAGCGGUGAAAUGCGUAGAGAUUAGGAGGAACACCAGUGGCGAAGGCGGCCUGCUGGACGACAACUGACGGUGAGGCGCGAAAGCGUGGGGAGCAAACAGGAUUAGAUACCCGAGUAGUC